CACACGCAUACAUACAGCAGCAGCAGCAGUAGCGACAGGGAAGAUGGAGGACAGGGUGGUGAUGGUGGAGCAGACCUCCAGCCCGCAGCAGCAGCAGCAGCAUCAUCAUCCCCGCUGAUGGUUGCAGACUCUGAGCUCAAAGUUCUUCACUGUUGAUCCGACCAGAACCCGACAGCCAUGAACUCCCAGGAGAUGGAGCUUGGUCAAGUGGUCAUGGAGGAAGAUGAUGCCCCUCCUCGCCAUCGCCACAGCAGUCAGUCUCGUACCCACGGCAACCAGGACAGAAGGCACAGACGUGACGCCCCGGGCGGAGGAAGUGUCAGUGGCAGAGCAAGGGCGCAGCAAGGGUGUCGCCCACAGGAGGAGCAAGAUACUGAGCUGCAAUAUGGAGCUCCACCUCCACAGGCCCAGCAGCAGCAGCCCAUCCCACGGCCUGCGGUGACCCGCUAUCGAAGGCAGGGGGACAGUGAGGCCCGGAUCCGAGUCCAGCAGCAGAGACACAGGCAGCGGCAGCAGAGAGAGGCGGAGCGAGCACAACAUUCAACACAACAACACAAAAAACACCCGGAGGUGGAAGAUGAACGAGAGAGGGACGAUUCAGCGCUGGCCCGCUCAGCCAGCACUGAGAGCGGCUUCCACACCCACAGUGACCGGGCCGAGGGGGACGACGGUCUGGUCCUGAUGUCUCUGGAGCCUGAGACGCAGCCAGAGGUGGAGGAUGAAACGGGGAACUAUGGAGUCCAGCUGCGGCCCGAAGCCGAGGGAUACACCGAGAGUGCCGAGGCCGAGCAGCAGCAUCUCCACUCGCAUCCUUACUGCGCUCCUCGGCCGUUACCACGGGAACCCCCGCCCGACGUCCACCACACCCAGAGACAGGACGACACGGAGGAGAACCUGAACACGGGAUACUCCAAUUAUGUCUACACUCAGCCCCUGUGCCGUGCUCGAGGACGGCCGGAGAGUCUGGUCCCUCACAGCUCAGAGGGUCUGGAUUCUGGACUCGUGGAUGAAGCUUAUUCUGAGCCGUAUGACAUUUACUCCAUGUCUGAGCAUGUUUACGAGGAGAUCUGUGACGCUCCACCUUCAGGUUCCUCUGCUGCAGACGGAUCAGGAGACGCAGAGUCUCUUCAGCAGAAGAGGGCCGGCUUCCGGCUGCUGGAGGGCCAGGCUGUGGGUGGAGACUACCAUCAGCAGGAGGCCGUGGGCUCCCGUCUGCGGCACUACGACGAGCGCUCUGACGGCGAGUCGGACAGCCCGGAGAAGGAGGCGGAGUUUGCCCCGUACCCGCGCGCCGACAGCUGCGAGCAGGAGGAGGACAUCGACAGCAUCGUCGCUGAGGUGAAAGAAAGUAUAAGUUCUCAGAGUCUUCAUCAUACGUCAGAAGACACGAUAGACGAAGAAGACAAUCUACCACAGGAAGAAGAAAAAACCUGUGAGGGAGACGUUAACCGAGCCAAGCCUGCGAGAAACCCGGCUGUCAGUCCUUCAGAGGAGCUCGCAGUGAUGAGGAACAGCCAGGAGAAGAGGGACGCCAUCUCUCUGGCCAUCAAGGAUAUUAAGGAGGCUAUAGAGGAGGUGAAGACCAGAACAGUGAGGUCUCCUUACACACCUGAUGAGCCCAAGGAGCCUAUCUGGGUAAUGAGGCAGGACCUGAGUCCCACUGCUGAAUGUGACCUUCCACCGUCGCUAGGAGGAGAUUCUCCUGGUUCAGGCUCUCCCUCUCCUCUCGGAGCAGAGUCGUCCAGCAGACAUCUGCUGCAGGAGGACAGCGUGGAAUCUUCUCCCUCCAGUAAAGAGUCCAGGAGAAGUCUGGCGUCUUUCCCCACAUAUGUAGAAGUCCCAGGUCCAUGUGACCCUGAGGACCUGAUCGAUGGAAUCAUCUUCGCAGCAAACUACCUGGGCUCCACUCAGCUGCUGUCGGACAAAACUCCGUCUAAGAAUGUUCGUAUGAUGCAGGCGCAGGAGGCCGUCAGCCGCAUCAAGACGGCACAGAAGUUAGCCCAGACCAAGAAAAAGGCGUCUGAAGGUGACCCUCAGCCCAUGACUGAGGUCGAUCUCUUCAUCUCCACUCAGAGAAUCAAAGUGCUCAACGCUGACUCUCAGGAGACCAUGAUGGAUCACCCUCUGAGGACCAUCUCCUACAUCGCUGACAUUGGUAACAUCGUGGUUCUGAUGGCGCGGCGCAGGAUGCCUCGGGCCGACUCUCAGGAGGAUCUGGAAGCUUCAGACCCGGGACAAGAGAACAAGCGUCAGUACAAGAUGAUCUGCCACGUGUUUGAGUCUGACGACGCUCAGCUCAUCGCUCAGUCCAUCGGACAGGCCUUCAGCGUGGCCUACCAGGAGUUCUUACGAGCCAACGGAAUCAACCCCGAGGACCUGAGCCAGAAGGAGUACAGUGACCUGCUCAACACUCAGGACAUGUACAACGACGACCUCAUCCACUUCUCCAAGUCGGAGAACUGCAAAGAUGUGUUCGUUGAGAAAGCAAAGGGAGAGAUUCUGGGUGUGGUCAUCGUGGAGAGUGGGUGGGGCUCCAUCUUACCCACCGUCAUCAUCGCCAACAUGAUGCAUGCUGGGCCGGCGGAGAAGUCGGGCAGACUGAACAUCGGAGACCAGAUCAUGUCCAUCAACGGGACCAGUCUGGUGGGACUGCCGCUGUCCACCUGCCAGAGCAUCAUCAAGGGUCUGAAGAACCAGCCUCGGAUCAGUCUGAACAUCGUCAGGUGUCCCCCGGUGACCACAGUCCUCAUCAGACGACCUGACCUGCGCUACCAGCUGGGCUUCAGCGUUCAGAACGGCAUCAUCUGCAGUCUGAUGCGCGGCGGCAUCGCCGAGCGAGGCGGCGUCAGAGUCGGUCAUCGCAUCAUCGAAAUCAACAGCCAGAGCGUGGUGGCCACGCCCCACGAGAAGAUCGUCCACAUCUUAUCCAACGCUGUGGGAGAGAUCCACAUGAAGACGAUGCCUGCAGCCAUGUACCGCCUGCUCACCGCUCAGGAGCAGCCUGUUUACAUUUAACCAGACCUCACACUUCCUGCACUCAACUGUCACUCAAACCCCAAACCCGCCUCAUCUGCUCCGCCCGCUCCUCCCCCUACAGCCCUUCUUCCACAGCUGGUGUGAUGGACGGACGGAUAGAAGCUGUUUAUGGGAUGUUUCUGUUGCUCAGUGGCAGUGUAGUGUAUUCACUUUAAAGGUCCAAUAUGUAAUAUUUUUGCUCCACUGGUCGUCGUUAUGACAACUGCUGUCGAGUUUAAAGGCAGAAAUGAAAUAUACGACGUGGUUCAAUUAAAACUCCUCUGACAUUUAUCUGACUGUACAGAAGCAUAGACAGAAUCUAAUCUAAAAGUGUGAUUUGUGUGAUAAUCUGCUGGUAAAAGGACAUGAUGAGAGGAAAUGUCCAUCUAUUGGUUGCAAUCUGCAGUCUCACCAUUAGAUGUCACUAAUUAUUCCACAGUGGACCUCUCUGCAGUACUACACACACACACACACACACACAUACACUUAACAUCUUGUGAGGCUAAAUGUUGCGACGGCGUAUUAAGGCUGGGGGAGGGGGGUAAUAUUUCCAGAAAAAAGUCGCAGAUUUAUGAGAUUAAACGUAGCAAAUCUCAUAAAUCCGCGACUUUUUUCCUCCCCAGGGGCUGUCAUUUAUUUUUUUUCAUACUUGGCCUAAAACGUUGUCGUAAAAUGUUGCGUACUGGACCUUUAAAAGAUUUAUUUCUCACUUUGGCUUCAGUUUGCUCAUCACAGGUCAUCACAGGUCACAGGUCAUCACAGGUCAUCACAGGUCAUCACAUGUCACAGUCAUCACAGCUUAUCACAGGUCAUCACAGGUCAUCACAGGUCACAGGUCAUCACAGGUCACAGGUCAUCACAGGUCAUCACAGGUCAUCACAUGUCACAGUCAUCACAGCUUAUCACAGGUCAUCACAGGUCAUCACAUGUCACAGUCAUCACAGCUUAUCACAGGUCAUCACAGGUCAUCACAGGUCACAGGUCAUCACAGCUCAUCACAGCUUAUCACAGGUCACAGGUCAUCACUGGUCAUCACAUGUCACAGGUCAUCACAGGUCACAGGUCAUUACAGACAGCUGUUUUCUGGUAAAGUCAGAGAAAUGAGCGUGAUUGUGGCCUUGAAGGCAAACUGCACAUAUAACCUGACUGUAUUUCUGCCACGCUGCUAUUUCACCGGCAGAUCACUCACUGCACGUCUCUCUCUCCACUGCCCGUCUCUCUCUCCACUGCCCGUCUCUCUCUCCACUGCCCGUCUCUCUCUCCCCUGCAGGAGUGUCACUGUUCAUCUGUUCAAAGCUUUUCAACUCUAUUUAGCUCAGUUGAUGUGAUUGUGGUUGAUUUUGUAUUCUGUGUACAUAGCACCAGCAGUAAUAACCAUGAAUGUCCCUCACAGUGUGUGUGUGUGUGUGCGCUAUUUAUGACCAAUGUUGUUGAGAUUUGAUUUAACUACACACAAAACUGGAGCUUUUCUAUAUAAGUGUAAAUGUGUGAGUUUGACGUCAGAGACUCGUCUUUCUCUUUAGUUUAACAUGAACUCUGAUGUUUACGAGGGAUUAUUAAUCCGUCAUCAUUAAUCACUAAGUUAAUCGUCCACUAUUCUGAUCGCCACUCGUCUAAUACUCGUUUUCUUUCUCCGGAAAAUAUUAACAUUUAAGAAGCUGAAAAAUAAUCAGAAAUAGUUCAAAAUAGUUGACGAUUGAUUUAGUUAUCGAUUAAUCAAAUAAUCGUUGCAGCCCUAAACGAACGAAACAAGACAUUUCCAGAUUUUGGAAACAAUAAGAAACAGUUUUCAACAUUUCAUGAACCAAUCAGAGCAGACGGGAGGCGGGAGCUUCCUCUCAUAGUUAUUUCAAUCAUGAUAAUAAUGAUAAUGUCACUUACAUAUUUAUUUAUUUCUAUUUCAUAGACUCCACCAGUUUCUACAAAAGUUAUUGUGCAGAAGAAAAUUGUGAAAUUACAAGUUAAAGGCACGUGUGUGUGUGUGUGUGUGUGUGUGUGUGUGUGUGUGUGUGUGUGUGUGUGUCAGACUUCACCAGCUCUAACAAUUCCUGGUUUUUAGUUGAUUUAGGAGAAACAAGGAUUCUGUUUUAGUCACCAUUCAAGGACUUUUCCAGGACCAGUUCCCUCAAAUUCAAGGACCUAAUGUGCUGACACAGUUAAAGAUGGGAGGGCAACUUAAAAUAUGCUAAUGUCGUCCACUUGUAUUGAAUUGCAGCAUGAAUACAAUCUAAAUAUCAACUUAAUGUAUUUUUCUUGCACAAAAUUCCAGAACUUUCAAUGACCCAUGUCAAAUUUUCAAGGAUUUCACGUAUCUGCGGGAACACUGUUUAUGAACAGUGUUCAUAAACAGCAUUAACUCGUCCAGUUCCUCUGUGACGACCUUUGGUUUGUCGUUUUCUUUAGUUUUGUUGUUUGUCAGAAAACAAAAACACAUUAUUUAAGCUUAUCUUGGCCUUAUUAUUACUACUAUGACGACUACUACUACUAACACUGGACCUGUUAUCAUGUUAGAGGGUUAGAGGACGCGGCAGCCAUGUGCGAUUACGCUGUGCUGUUCUUCCACUGUGUGUGUGUGUGUGUGUGCGCGUGUGUGUGUGUGUGUGUGUGUGUGUGUGUGUGAUUAUAAGCAGUGUAUUCAUGACCAGCUGAAUAUAUACGACACACACAUAGAUGAACAUUAUAGAAAGCUAUAUAAAGGUAUAUACUUCUAAUGGUUGUUUUGUUUUGUGUGUGUUUGGAUUCAAAGGUCAUUUAAGGUCAGGGGAAUUAAGGACACACACACACAUAUACAUGUAUA